rnacentral:rRNA from 1 species
UACAGAGGUCCCAAGCGUUGUUCGGAUUCAUUGGGCGUAAAGCGCGCGCAGGCGGUUUCUUAAGUCUGAUGUGAAAGCCCACGGCUCAACCGUGGAGGGUCAUUGGAAACUGGGGAACUUGAGUGCAGAAGAGAAAAGCGGAAUUCCACGUGUAGCGGUGAAAUGCGUAGAGAUGUGGAGGAACACCAGUGGCGAAGGCGGCUUUUUGGUCUGUAACUGACGCUGAGGCGCGAAAGCGUGGGGAGCAAACAGG